UUGCUGCCUACCAACAAAGAUAAAGAAUCCUUUGACUCAAUAAAGGUUUAUCAAGAUAAUAAAUUAUACGAGAAACACAAUGCAGAAAAAGAUCUUUAAACUAUCGAGGAUGACUAUAAAAAACUGGAAGAAGAGCUGCAGAAAUU